AGAGUUUGAUCCUGGCUCAGGACGAACGCUGGCGGCGUGCUUAACACAUGCAAGUCGAACGGUAAGGCCCCUUCGGGGGUACACGAGUGGCGAACGGGUGAGUAACACGUGAGCAACCUGCCCUUGACACUGGAAUAACAGUUGGAAACAGCUGCUAAUGCCGGAUAUGACCUUCGGUGGCAUCACCUGGAGGUGGAAAGUGCUUAGCGGUCAAGGAUGGGCUCGCGGCCUAUCAGCUAGUUGGUGAGGUAACGGCUCACCAAGGCUUCGACGGGUAGCCGGCCUGAGAGGGCGACCGGCCACACUGGGACUGAGAUACGGCCCAGACUCCUACGGGAGGCAGCAGUGGGGAAUAUUGCACAAUGGGCGCAAGCCUGAUGCAGCAACGCCGCGUGCGGGAUGACGGCCUUCGGGUUGUAAACCGCUUUCAGUUCCGACGAAGCGUAAGUGACGGUAGGAACAGAAGAAGGACCGGCCAACUACGUGCCAGCAGCCGCGGUG
rnacentral:rRNA from 1 species